rnacentral:rRNA from 1 species
UACAGAGGGUGCAAGCGUUGUUCGGAAUUAUUGGGCGUAAAGCGCGUGUAGGCGGCUUUGCAAGUCGGGUGUGAAAGCCCUCGGCUCAACCGAGGAAGUGCGCCCGAAACUGCAGAGCUUGAGUACCGGAGAGGAUGGCGGAAUUCCCCAAGUAGAGGUGAAAUUCGUAGAUAUGGGGAGGAACACCGGUGGCGAAGGCGGCCAUCUGGACGGAUACUGACGCUGAGGAGCGAAAGCGUGGGGAGCGAACAGG